CGUAGGUCCCGAGCGUUGUCCGGAUUUAUUGGGCGUAAAGCGAGCGCAGGCGGUUAGAUAAGUCUGAAGUUAAAGGCUCGUGGCUUAACCGAUAGUACGCUUUAGGAAACUUGUUUAACUUGAGUGCAAGAGGGGAGAGUGGAAUUCCAUGUGUAGCGGUGAAAUGCGUAGAUAUAUGGAGGAACACCGGUGGCGAAGCGGCUCUCUGGCUUGUAACUGACGCUGAGGCUCGAAAGCGUGGGGAGCAAACAGGAUU
rnacentral:rRNA from 1 species